rnacentral:lncRNA from 1 species
CACCCUUCAAAUCGCCCAUUAAGGAACUAACUUCCUCUCCUCUUUCUUCCUUGUUUGGGUAGUUUGAGCUUGCCCUAGAUUCAACCUCUCUUCUCCAAAUCGAUGAUUUACCUCCUCAAAAUCUUUGCUUUUUCUUCUAAAAUCCUUUCCUCUCUACCUCUCAUUUAGUCUCCUAAGCUCCUUGCAAGUCUCUUUUGUUCAAAUGGCUCCCAAAAUGAAGCUACCACAAAGAAAAAAAUCUGUUCGCGGGUUGGAAGAGAGUGUGCGCAGAAAAAGA